rnacentral:rRNA from 1 species
CCUACGGGAGACAGCAGUGAGGAAUAUUGGUCAAUGGCCGAGAGGCUGAACCAGCCAAGUCGCGUGAGGGAAGAAUGUCCUAUGAUUGUAAACCUCUUUUAUCAGGGAGCAACGUCAACCACGUGUGGGAGUUGUAGAGUACCUGAAGAAAAAGCAUCGGCUACGUCCGUGCCAGCAGCCGCGGUAGUACGAAGGAUGCGAGCGUUAUCCGUAUUUAUGGGGGUAAAAGGGUGCGUGGGCGGAUUAUGAAGUCAGAGGUAAAAGCGUGGAGCUCAACUCCAUCCAGCCGUUGAAACUGAUGAUCUUGAGUGGGCGAGAGGUAUGCGGAAUGCGAGGUGUAGCAGUGAAAUGCAUAGAUAUCACGAAGAACUGCAGUUGCGAAGGCGGCAAACCGGCGCCCGACUGACGCUGAAGAACGAAAGCGUGGGUAGCGAACAGGAUUAGAUACCCCGGUAGUC